AUAGCAUUUAAGGAAAAAGUUCCAGAAAAGGCAUUGCCUCAAAAGGGCAGCUGUGUCUGAGUUCUCUGCUUCUCUGCACUGCUCAGACGAGACACUGCAGAGCUCAACCUGCGUUACCACGUUCAGCAAAGCACUGUGCAGCAGGAGGCCCUCUGAGUAUGUGUGUGUGCGCGUAGUGCGGAUCUUUUACAGGAUCCCUUGUCCUGUACCUGCUCCCCGGAUCACCGGCUCUCUCCGUCAAUAAGAGAAAGGCCAAUGUCCGCAGGGGGGUCAUCCCUCCUAGCUGCACGCUGCUCUUGGACAGCAUGGAUCACUUCCCAGAUCUCCGAGGCCUCCGUGCUGAAGCCUGCGCAUGUGGAUAUUGCUCCUUCCAGGGACUGGUGACUGCCAGAGCUGUGGAGUGUGACAAUGGUGUUUGUGUCCAGUCUAUCAAACGCCAUUAUCACACUAAAUAGCUACUGGAAGAGAAGGCAUCAAUUUAGGAAAAAGCAUGAACUGUGGCAAUAUGUUUUCCCUCCAGGCUGAGGAAGAUGCAGCUUUGUCAAUGUGUUUCAGGAUGACUGUGCUCUUCUACAUGGAAACCACCUUAAUACAUGAGACAUGAAUGCUCUGCUAUAUGCCUCCAGAUUCCCACCGUAAAGCAGCAGGCAUCACCUUAGUGCUGCAUAUUUGCUUCCUUGGGAGAUAUGAGUCAUGCUCAGACACAGGGAUUAUAGUUUUUCUUGCAAGUGGCUUUUUUAGUCUCUUAAAAUGAGAUCCCUGUUGAGUUAGAGCUAAUGUUGUAAAAUGUGUCUUAAGCUGCUUUGCAAGUAUUUAACACCAAUUAAUUGAAGAGCUGCAGUCUGAAGCGUAUUCCUCUU